GAUGAACGCUGGCGGCGUGCUUAACACAUGCCAGUCGAACGGAAAGGCUCCUGCUUGCAGGGGUACUCGAGUGGCGAACGGGUGAGUAACACGUGGGUGAUCUGCCCUGCACUUCGGGAUAAGCCUGGGAAACUGGGUCUAAUACCGGAUAGGACGAUGGUUUGGAUGCCAUUGUGGAAAGUUUUUCGGUGUGGGAUGAGCUCGCGGCCUAUCAGCUUGUUGGUGGGGUAAUGGCCUACCAAGGCGUCGACGGGUAGCCGGCCUGAGAGGGUGUACGGCCACAUUGGGACUGAGAUACGGCCCAGACUCCUACGGGAGGUAGCAGUGGGGAAUAUUGCACAAUGGGCGCAAGCCUGAUGCAGCGACGCCGCGUGGGGGAUGACGGCCUUCGGGUUGUAAACUCCUUUCGUCAGGGACGAAGCGAAAGUGACGGUACCUGGAUAAGAAGCACCGGCUAACUACGUG
rnacentral:rRNA from 1 species